AUGGAGUCUCUGAUCUGUACAAUUUCUUGCCUUUCAGAGAGCAUACCAUCUCCGGGCUCGAUGCUGUAUGAGGAGAGAUGGCAGCGCUGCACCAGCUCCAGAGUUCAGCCAAGGGCUAUGUGUGCCAAGGGCGCAGGCAGACUAGGCAAGGCUGCCAGUUGGAAAAGGGGUGGCAGAAAGAGGUUUAAAAUUGUGUGGCAAGAAAAUAAGCCAGCAGCAAUACAAAAGCAACUGCACGAGAAGAUUAAGGCAUUGCUGGAGUGACGUCUACAUCUUCCUCAAUGAUGAAGGUUAGGGGUUUCAAGCCUAGCUGCUGACUCAUAACCAAGAAGAAGAAAAAAGGGAAAAUUAGCAUGAGGAAUGUUGCUGAAAUGGCUUGUAUGUGUUUAGUGAUUAAUCUAAAUAGUGUAUUGCUGUCUGUGUUAUGGCUGGUGUGUUUCCUAGGUGUUUUUAAUGGAAUCUGAUCUUUUAAGAACAUGGGGCUCCCGUAUGUAGAACCUGUAUCUGCAGAUCCACCACCAGGAAAGGCAGAUCUUUAAGAAAAACUUUUCCAGGAAACAAGUUUAAUUCCUGACAUUGCAACACCAGUGUUUUUUUCUGAGCCUAGAUGCCUUAGGACAUUUUACUGAGCUAAUGAGCCUCUGGAUGGUAGAUCACUGGUCAGAGUGUAGCCUGGCUCUGCAGGGAUUAAAAAUCACUCCCAGUGGGUGCAUGUCUGCAGGCCCUCCUAGGACAUGUGUUUGGUGGGACUGUGUGCCAUCUUCCUUGUUAAAUACUUGUUCCCUGACUGCACUAACUGGCAAACUCAGCAGAGAGGCCUGGAAGGUGACCUUGAGCUAAGCCAUGUCACCUCCAGCGGAUGUCGCCUCUGGAUCAAGGCUGAGGCAGGCGGGGGAGGCUCGGGCUGCUGCUCCUGAGAUAACUGGAAGGAUCAGGGAAGCUGGGUGACUGCUCAGUCUAAACAAUGGCUUCAGAGCCAGAGCUGUGAUCGUACUCAAAUUAAUUUCAAAUAGGCACAGUAACAUAAGAAGCAAUUUGCAUAAGACGUCACAUGGAUUCGCAUACAAUUUUGCAUAUUUUAAAAAAAUAUAAUAAUGCAUAGCUCGGGUGGGUACGUGAAAUCAUUUGUGCAGCGAACCGUGCAGAGAAACAACGUGCAAUUAUCACAGAAGAAGAAAACAAAUGACAGCAACCACCCAGUCAGCUAAGAAGUCAGGAAGCACCAGCCCCUUCCUUCAUCCACCCUCUGGACAGAUGCU
rnacentral:lncRNA from 1 species